ACUUGACUAGCUCAGUUGGAAGAGUGUGUGACUCUUGGUGUCAGAGUUGUGGGUUCAAGCCCCAUGCUGAGUA
rnacentral:tRNA from 1 species